rnacentral:rRNA from 1 species
GGUCAAGCGAACAAGUGCAUGUGGUGGAUGCCUUGGCGAUCACAGGCGAUGAAGGACGCGGUAGCCUGCGAAAAGCUACGGGGAGCUGGCAAACAAGCUUUGAUCCGUAGAUGUCCGAAUGGGGAAACCCACUCCUUUUGGAGUAUCCAUGGCUGAAUACAUAGGCCAUGUGAAGCGAACGCGGUGAACUGAAACAUCUAAGUAACCGCAGGAAAAGAAAUCAACCGAGAUUCCCAAAGUAGUGGCGAGCGAAAUGGGAUGAGCCUUGCACUCUUUAUUUGUAUUGUUAGCCGAACGCUCUGGAAAGUGCGGCCAUAGCAGGUGAUAGCCCUGUAGGCGAAAACAGUAUGAAAGAACUAGGUGUGCGACAAGUAGGGCGGGACACGUGAAAUCCUGUCUGAAGAUGGGGGGACCAUCCUCCAAGGCUAAAUACUCGUGAUCGACCGAUAGUGAACCAGUACCGUGAGGGAAAGGCGAAAAGAACCCCGGGAGGGGAGUGAAAUAGAUCCUGAAACCGCAUGCAUACAAACAGUCGGAGCCUCGUAAGGGGUGACGGCGUACCUUUUGUAUAAUGGGUCAGCGACUUACGUUCAGUAGCAAGCUUAACCGUAUAGGGCAGGCGUAGCGAAAGCGAGUCCGAAUAGGGCGUUCAGUUGCUGGGCGUAGACCCGAAACCAGGUGAUCUAUCCAUGGCCAGGAUGAAGGUGCGGUAACACGUACUGGAGGUCCGAACCCACUAACGUUGAAAAGUUAGGGGAUGAGCUGUGGAUAGGGGUGAAAGGCUAAACAAACCUGGAAAUAGCUGGUUCUCUCCGAAAACUAUUUAGGUAGUGCCUCGUGUCUCACCUUCGGGGGUAGAGCACUGUCAUGGUUGGGGGGUCUAUUGCAGAUUACCCCGCCAUAGCAAACUCCGAAUACCGAAGAGUGCAAUCACGGGAGACAGACAUCGGGUGCUAACGUCCGGUGUCAAGAGGGAAACAACCCAGACCGCCAGCUAAGGUCCCCAAAUAUAGCUAAGUGGGAAACGAAGUGGGAAGGCUAAAACAGUCAGGAGGUUGGCUUAGAAGCAGCCACCCUUUAAAGAAAGCGUAAUAGCUCACUGAUCGAGUCGUCCUGCGCGGAAGAUGUAACGGGGCUAAGCUAUAUACCGAAGCUGCGGAUGCGUGCUUGCACGCAUGGUAGGAGAGCGUUCCGUAAGCCUGCGAAGGUGCGUUGAAAAGCGUGCUGGAGGUAUCGGAAGUGCGAAUGCUGACAUGAGUAGCGAUAAAGGGGGUGAAAGGCCCCCUCGCCGUAAGCCCAAGGUUUCCUACGCAACGUUCAUCGGCGUAGGGUGAG